UCCCAGGUGGUCUAGUGGUUAGGAUUUGUGGCUUUCACCCACGCGGCCCGGGUUCGAUUCCCGGUCUGGGAA
rnacentral:tRNA from 1 species